rnacentral:lncRNA from 1 species
UUUUUUUUUUUUCUUUCUUUUUAGAGCCAUACUCAGGGCUUAAGGUAGUUCAGAUCUGAGCCAUAUCUGCAACCUAUACCACAGCUCAAGGCAACAGCGGAUCCCUAACCCACUGAGCGAGGCCAGGGAUUGAAACUGCGUCCUCAUGGAGGAGAAGAAAGCGAGGUGAAGUGGGGGUGGACCUCCAUCCCUUCCAGAAGUCCCCUGGGACACGUCUGAGCAGAUUGGCACGAUCCUAGCUAUAAGCCCAUGACCAAGACAAAAGGAGUGAACGAGUAUUUACUGUAAUAUAGCCUGGCCAAGGGCCUGAUGGGGCUGCCUGGGGCUCUGGCCUCCCAUGGCCCGUCUCUGGGAGGAGGAGGACUCCUGGGGAACCUGGCAGAGACUGACCACUCCCCCUGUGUGUGGGGAAGCAAGACCUACCCAGCUGGAAAAAGCCAGGCUUCUGUACUGAGAUGAUCCACAAAAAAUGGUGGAAAUGGUCCUUCGCGUUGUUUUUCACACCACUGCCCAAGCUGGACCCGUGUGCAGGCAUUGGUGAGUACAGGCUGACAGCCCAGGAACAGCCCUGGGUUCUAGACAAAGCCUGGGAGGUAGCGGGUUGCCUCCACCAGGAGGAUGCGGCCAACACCCGCUCCCCUGGGAUGCCCUGAACGGCUCCACAUCACACGUCAUCCAGACGCAACACCCUCGUUCAUCUCCAAUCCCUGCUUCCCAGCUUGGAAGCUGCUAACCAGUCUCCCAGGCCAGACACAUCCCCCCUCAGCUGGUACUACUCCCAGAUCUUUCCAGACCCCCACCUGGAUGGCAGCUUUGGGGCUCAGCAGCCAGACUUCAUGUCCACGGAGUCUGCAUUUCCUCCAUGAGGCUCCACCUUGGAGUAAUGGGCUUGGAGUCUCCUUCCCAAACUGGGGAGAGGCACAUGUCCAGGCAAACCUGGGGGGAAGGGAGCAAACCGGUUCCCCCUGCCAUGUCAUCUUGUCCCCACUGCCUUGCUCUCCCCUAGGGCCUCUCCCUGCUCACCUCUGCACCUGCCCUCCUCUGGGUGGGGCUGUGUCCCCUCAGGUGGCAUCUCCUUCUAGGGGUGGCUGCAGGGAGGAGAGGCCAGACCCCUUCAGGGUUUCUGUGAAGGAGGCCGUGGCCCUGAGGUGGGUCCUGGAUUCCCAGAGCCGCCAUUUUUGGUCCUGGGCUCCCACCCACGGGCCCUGCUGCAAUGCUGGGCUGGAGAGCACAGGGCUCAAACCCACAGCUUUGGCACAGUUGUCUGGGUUCCCACUCCUAGUCAUGGGUUUUAGGGAAACACUAAAUCCCUGAGCCUUGGUGUCCUCAUCUGUAAAAUGGCGUUAGUAGCACAAGCCACAGUCCCUUUCUAAAACCAUUGGUUCAUACUCCAGAAUUCAGAAAUUUUCAGCCUCACCAGGUGACAUGGUACAUCUACUCAAUUUAACACGACACCCACUGGUGUCUGAAAAUACCUUGUAGUGAAGCACAGUAAUCUUUCUGCAACUGCACUUUUGUUGUUGUUGUUGUUUAUUAAGUUAUUUUUAUUUUGUUCCCUGAUAGCUGGUUGACAGUGUUCUGUCAGUUUUCUACUGCACAGCAAGGUGACCCAAUUACACAUACAUAUAGGCACUCUUUUUUCUCACCUUAUCACGCUCCAUCAUAAGUUGCAGCUGUACUUCUGAACAUUCAUACCAAGUGAAAGAAAUAAAGACCAUGAAGUAUUUCAUAU